CGGCCCUCGCGGGGGUGCAUUGUAGUUGCAUUGCAUGUGUCAGACUGGGAGUGCAAUGCCCCUGCCAUGCAGCCCGGCGGGGGUCCC
rnacentral:ncRNA from 11 species